rnacentral:lncRNA from 1 species
ACAAUAUUUCCUGGAAUUAGAUUUUAUGAGCCAAGGCUAAUUUUUUUGCCAACUGAAUACCAGGCAUUGCUAUAGGAGCAAUCUAUAACCUUGCCCCAAACCCCGUGCUCUCUGAAACAUGUGCUGUGUCCACUCAGGGUUAAAUGGAUUAAGGGUGGUGCAAGAUGUGCUUUGUUAAACAGAUGCUUGAAGGCAGCAUGCUCGUUAGGAGUCAUCACCACUCCCUAAUCUCAAGUACCCAGGGACACAAACACUGUGGAAGGCCGCAGGGUCCUCUGCCUAGGAAAACCAGAGACCCUUGUUCACAUGUUUAUCUGCUGACCUUCCCUCCACUAUUGUCCUAUGACCCUGCCAAAUCCCCCUCUCCGAGAAACACCCAAGAAUGAUCAAUAAAUACUAAAAAAAAAAAAAAAAAAAAAAAAAUUAAAAAGGCAAGCUUGCAGGAGUAGGUUCUCUCUCUUCUGCCCCUCUGCCACCCGAGGACAUGGUGUUCUCCUCCAGAGGAUGCAGCAUUUAAGGCACCAUCUUGGAAGCAGAGAGACUGGGCCCUAACCUCCUGGUACUUUGAUUUGAAACUCCCAGCCUCCAGAACUGUAAGAAAUAAAUUUCUGUUCCUUACAAAUCCUGAGCUCCAGCAGUCUUCCUACCUCGUCUCCCAAGUGAUAGGUUUUAAAAUAUGCAAGGAAGCCACUCUGAAUCUGAUCUUUGCCAUCAAGCUGUUUUAACAGGAUUUGUCUCUCAAAGGCUUUUUCAAUUUUAUCUCUCACUUUUUCCCAAACUUCUGCUUUCAGACUGAGGUAUUCUUUGCUGAAUCAUCUUUCUUGUAAUACUUUGCGAAACACAGCUAGCAGUAACCAACACACCCUUGUAAGUUUCCAGUUUCCAGUGUUUCGAAUUCAUUGCUCACAUGAUUGAAACUGCAACUUAUUGCAGGCAGUAGCAUUAUCAAAUAUCAGUAUCAGAUACUGCUGUUGAUCUUUAGUAUAAGUUAUCAUGAUCUUUCUAGCCUAUACCAGACCACUCAUCAAAUGCCAUAUAUUUUAAUUUAGUUAGUUUUUUGGCUUUUAGUUUGUUUUUUAACAGACGUUACCCACUUCUUAUAUCAAUCAAUAGUAUUAAUCAGGAUAGAUUAGGUUGUGCUUCCUGUAACAUUUCCCAAAUCUCCAGGAUGUAAGACUAUAUCUUUUGAUUUCUAAUCCACAGAA